rnacentral:lncRNA from 1 species
CUGUCUCCCAUAAAAUCCUCAUUGGGAAACUGAGGAAGUGUAGGCUGGAUGAGGGGACAGUGAGGUGGAUUGAGAACUGGCUGUGUGACAGGACCCAAAGGGUAAUUAUUAAUGGAGCAGGUUCAAGUUGGAAGCCUGUAACCAGUGGAGUCCCCCAGGGGUCAAUACUUGGACCCGUGCUGUUUAAUAUAUUCAUCAGUGACCUGGACGAGGGGACAGAGUGUAUCCUCAGCAAGUUUGCUGAUGAUACCAAACUGGGAGGAGUGGCUGACACCCCGGAGGGCUGUGCUGCCAUCCAGCGAGACUUGGACAGGCUAGAGGGCUGGGCAAAGAAGAACCUCAUGAGGUUCAACAGGGAAAAGUGUAGGGUCCUGCACCUGGGGAAGAAAAAUGUCAGGUACCAGUAUAGGUUAGGGGUGGACCUGCUAGAGGCAACUACUGAAGAGAAAGAUCUAGGGGUCCUGGUGGACAGUAAAAUGACAAUGAGUAAACAGUGUGCUCUUGCGGCCAGGAAGGCCAAUGGUAUCUUGGGUUGUAUAGGGAAGAGUGUAGCCAGCAGGUCAAGGGAGGUCAUUCUGCCCCUCUACUCUGCACUGGUGAGGCCACAACUGGAAUACUGCCUCCAGUUCAAGAGGGACAGGGAACUGCUGGAAAGAGUCCAGCGUAGGGCUACAAAGAUGAUUCAAGGACUGGAGCAUCUCCUUUAUGAGGAGAGGCUGAAAGAGCUGGGACUCUUUAGUCUGGAGAAGAGAAGGCUGAGGGGAGACCUUAUUAGUGCCUACAAGUAUCUCAAGGGCGGGCUGAGGGAGGAGGGAACCCGACUCUUUUCAGUAGUUACCAGUGAGAGGACAGGGGGCAAUGGGCACAAGUUGGAACAGAAAGGGUUCCACUUGAAUAUGAGGAAAAACUUUUUCACGGUGAGGGUGACGGAGCCCUGGAACAGGCUGCCCAGGGAGGUUGUGGAGUCCCCUUCUUUGGAGAUUUUCAACACCCGCCUGAUCAAGAUGAUUAAGGGAUUGGAGCAUCUCCCUUAUGAGGAGAGGCUGAGAGAGCUGGGACUCUUUAGCCUGGAGAAGAGAAG